rnacentral:tRNA from 1 species
GCGGGCGUGGCGGAAUUGGCAGACGCGCUGGUUUUAGGUACCAGUGGGGCAACCCGUGGAGGUUCGAGUCCUCCCGUCCGCA